UGAAAAGCAGUUCCGUAUUGUUUUAUGAGU
rnacentral:piRNA from 1 species